rnacentral:lncRNA from 1 species
GAGUCCCUUCAAGUCCUAUUUUUUUUUAAUUUUAUGGAAUUUCGAAUUGAUUUGGGUAUUUUUGAAACUCCUAACUAUUUUAGGGAUCUAAUGUGUGAAAAAUUGGGGAUUGAAAUUGUGUUUUGGAAAAUUAACUCAUCGAGAUGUAAAUUAUAUAAUAUCCAAACAUCUGGGUUAUGUAUGCUAUAUUGUGAAUCUCAUGAGCAUCUAUAUCUCAUUGCCCGAUUGCUAGUUUGAAGAAUUAUCUCUUUGGUCGUUUUGAGGGGCACUGGGUUU